rnacentral:rRNA from 1 species
GAUGAACGCUAGCGGGAGGCCUAACACAUGCAAGCCGAGCGGUAUUGUUUCUUCGGAAAUGAGAGAGCGGCGUACGGGUGCGGAACACGUGUGCAACCUGCCUUUAUCUGGGGGAUAGCCUUUCGAAAGGAAGAUUAAUACUCCAUAGCAUAUUGAACGGCAUCGUUUGAUAUUGAAAGCUCCGGCGGAUAGAGAUGGGCACGCGCAAGAUUAGCUAGUUGGUGAGGUAACGGCUCACCAAGGCGAUGAUCUUUAGGGGGCCUGAGAGGGUGAUCCCCCACACUGGUACUGAGACACGGACCAGACUCCUACGGGAGGCAGCAGUGAGGAAUAUUGGUCAAUGGGUGCAAGCCUGAACCAGCCAUCCCGCGUGAAGGACGACUGCCCUAUGGGUUGUAAACUUCUUUUGUAUAGGGAUAAACCUACCCUCGUGAGGGUAGCUGAAGGUACUAUACGAAUAAGCACCGGCUAACUCCGUGCCAGCAGCCGCGGUAAUAC